rnacentral:rRNA from 1 species
CCUACGGGAGGCAGCAGUGGGGAAUAUUGGGCAAUGGGCGCAAGCCUGACCCAGCAACGCCGCGUGAAGGAAGAAGGCUUUCGGGUUGUAAACUUCUUUUCUGAGGGACGAGGAAAGUGACGUUACCUCAGGAAUAAGCAACGGCUAACUCCUUGCAGGAAGCCGCGGUAAUACGUAGGUGGCAAGCGUUAUCCGGAUUUAUUGGGUGUAAAGGGCGUGUAGGCGGGUUGGCAAGUCAGAUGUGAAACCUUAGGGCUCAACCCUGAGCCUGCAUUUGAAACUGUUUGUCUUGAGUGCUGGAGAGGCAAUCGGAAUUCCGGGUGUAGCGGUGAAAUGCGUAGAUAUAAGGAGGAACACCAGUGGCGAAGGCGGAUUGCUGGACAGCAACUGACGCUGAGGCGCGAAAGCGUGGGGAGCAAACAGGAUUAGAUACCCUUGUAGUC